GCUCGGUUAGCUCAGUUGGUUAGAGCGUCGUACUAAUAUUAUGUGCUUAUGGGCAUAACAUUGGUAAUGCGAAGGUCAUGAGUUCGACCCUCAUACUGAGCA